rnacentral:misc_RNA from 1 species
GCUACCUUCUUAAACUCAUCCCUCACAUGUUCUAAAAAAUGAAGUACAGCUGAGUUUCCAAGACCUUCAUCAACAAUUAUAAAAUAAACAUAACCGUCUUCUAUCAAAAACCCAAAAGUCCUCUUGCCAAUUGUCUCAAAAUACCACUUGUGAUACGCAGGAAUCCUUUCCAAUGACAAGGCUGCCAAAUUCUCAAUCUCAUCAUCACCCCCACUAUACACAUACAAGUUCCGAUUACCCCUAAAUACACAACAAUAAUGAACAGUAUUUUGAAUUGAACCCAUCUUGCUAAGACCUAGUUUAGAAAGUUUUCACAUCAAGAACUUUUCUACACACCACCAAAUAACUAAAACUCUACAAUUGGGUUUUAUAUCAAUAUCAACCAGCCAAAGAACAUAUUAGGUGAAUCUAAGAGACCAAGAUUUGGAAGAAGA